CAGUGUUUUCAGACCCCACAAGAAGGACAACAAAUGUAGGACUGAUUAAAAGUCAGCAAACAGAUCGAGCAUAGAAUGACGUACUAAAAGAGCACGACUACAUCAGGGCGUAUGCAACUCAAGGUAGCAUUCGUCGUUUUAUGAGCGGGUUACAGAAAGUAUUGCACGAUCAAAACGAACAAGUUCCAAACAGCUUGUAUACGCAUUCCACGGGCAUAAUGUUACGGCUUUUUUUUGUGUGCACAGUGUGUCUACUACGGUACAUAAACGUGCAUUUGGUCAAGCCUUUGCCAAGAAGGAAGAUUUACUGAUGUGGUGCAACUCAAUUUAAUGAAUGGCAUCCAGACACCAUAUAUUCAUGCUAAGCCAAAAUCAGCUUAUGGACAUUGCAACUUCUAUUACAGACAUGAAAGUUAAACCAAAGAUACCUGAUUACUAACUGCUCUGCUUCAACGCUCUCUGGUUAAACCCUGUAUUUUUGUGUCAUUCAUGCAUUUAGAGGUAUGCCAUCACGUAGGCCUACUAUUUCACUUGUGCUAAAAUU